rnacentral:rRNA from 1 species
AGUGAACGCUGGCGGUAGGCCUAACACAUGCAAGUCGAACGGCAGCACAGUAAGAGCUUGCUCUUACGGGUGGCGAGUGGCGGACGGGUGAGGAAUACAUCGGAAUCUACUUUUUCGUGGGGGAUAACGUAGGGAAACUUACGCUAAUACCGCAUACGACCUACGGGCGAAAGCAGGGGAUCUUCGGACCUUGCGCGAUUGAAUGAGCCGAUGUCGGAUUAGCUAGUUGGCGGGGUAAAGGCCCACCAAGGCGACGAUCCGUAGCUGGUCUGAGAGGAUGAUCAGCCACACUGGAACUGAGACACGGUCCAGACUCCUACGGGAGGCAGCAGCGGGGAAUAUUGGACAAUGGGCGCAAGCCUGAUCCAGCCAUACCGCGUGGGUGAAGAAGGCCUUCGGGUUGUAAAGCCCUUUUGUUGGGAAAGAAAAGCAGCAGGUUAAUACCCCGCUGUUCUGACGGUACCCAAAGAAUAAGCACCGGCUAACUUCGUG